rnacentral:lncRNA from 1 species
GUUUCUACCGUUAAUAUUUUCGUUAAAAGUUCUGUCCUAAAAUCAAGAUUACAAGCAAAUGUACAAGAAAUAAAAGAGUGAGUAGCACAUGUAUCGAUCAAAGCCUUGACAGAAAUAUCAUGAAUAGAAAGCAUACCCUAGAUAAAAACAGGAGUGGAGAGAGCACCAGGUUCAUCUAGGUGGUACACACGACCUUGGGCUACAGGCUUGGCUAAGUCCUUUAGUCGUUGGGGGCAGUCUUU